CAAGUCGAACGGCAGCACGAGAGCUUGCUCUUGGUGGCGAGUGGCGAACGGGUGAGUAAUAUAUCGGAACGUAUCCAAUAAUGGGGGAUAACUAAUCGAAAGGUUAGCUAAUACCGCAUACGCCCUACGGGGGAAAGCAGGGGAUCUUCGGACCUUGCGUUAAUGGAGCGGCUGAUAUCUGAUUAGCUAGUAGGUGAGGUAAAGGCUCACCUAGGCUUCGAUCAGUAGCUGGUCUGAGAGGACGACCAGCCACACUGGAACUGAGACACGGUCCAGACUCCUACGGGAGGCAGCAGUGGGGAAUUUUGGACAAUGGGCGCAAGCCUGAUCCAGCCAUUCCGCGUGAGUGAAGAAGGCCUUCGGGUUGUAAAGCUCUUUCGCAAGGGAAGAAACGAUACUGACGAAUAAUCGGUGUUAAUGACGGUACCUUGAUAAGAAGCACCGGCUAACUACGUGCCAGCAGCCGCGGUAAUACGUAGGGUGCGAGCGUUAAUCGGAAUUACUGGGCGUAAAGCGUGCGCAGGCGGUUUUGUAAGUCAGAUGUGAAAUCCCCGGGCUCAACCUGGGAACUGCGUUUGAAACUACAAGGCUAGAGUAUGGUAGAGGGGGGUAGAAUUCCACGUGUAGCAGUGAAAUGCGUAGAGAUGUGGAGGAAUACCAAUGGCGAAGGCAGCCCCCUGGACUAAUACUGACGCUCAUGCACGAAAGCGUGGGGAGCAAACAGGAUUAGAUACCCUGGUAGUCCACGCCCUAAACGAUGUCUACUAGUUGUUGGGAGAGUAAAAUCUCUUAGUAACGCAGCUAACGCGUGAAGUAGACCGCCUGGGGAGUACGGUCGCAAGAUUAAAACUCAAAGGAAUUGACGG
rnacentral:rRNA from 1 species